ensembl:lncRNA
CGAGUUGUUUCUUUAGCUUCCCAAAGAGCUGGGAAGCAAGAUGCUGUGGGACCCACUUGCCCUGUGGAAAGAAGCCCGCACGUUGUGCCUCUCAGCUCUAGGGCAAUGGAGCACACCCAGAGCAGAAGUCCUACUUCAGCCAGAUCAGGCCUGCAAAGAAACUGCGUUUCACAGGCCUUUGGAAGAGAUGUUCCCUGUAGGCUGUAAGAGCACUGUGCAGAGCGAGUUGUUUCUUAGCUUCCCAAAGAGCUGGAAGCAAGAUGCUGUGGGGCCCAACUCGCCCUUUGGAAAGAAGCCUUCACGUUGUGCCUUUCAGCUCUAGGGCAAUGUAGCACACCCAGAGCAGAAGUCCUACUUCAGCCAGAUCAGGCCUGCAAAGAAACUGCGUUUCACAGGCCUUUGGAAGAGAUGUUCCCGGUAGGCUGUAAGAGCACUGUGCAGAGCUAGUAGUUUCUUAGCUUCCCAAAGAGCUGGAAGCAAGAUGCUGUGGCGCCCAACUCGCCUUUGGAAAGAAGCCUGCACGUUGUGCCUUUCAGCUCUAGGGCAAAUUAGCACACCCAGAGCAGAAGUCCUACUUCAGCCAGAUCAGGCCUGCAAAGAAACUGCGUUUCACAGGGCUUUGGAAGAGAUGUUCCCGGUAGGCUGUAAGAGCACUGUGCAGAGCGAGUUGUUUCUUAGCUUCCCAAAGAGCUGGAAGCAAGAUGCUGUGGGGCCCAACUCGCCCUUUGGAAAGAAGCCUGCACGUUGUGCCUUUCAGCUCUAGGGCAAUGUAGCACACCCAGAGCAGAAGUCCUACUUCAGCCAGAUCAGGCCUGCAAAGAAACUGCGUUUCACAGGCCUUUGGAAGAGAUGUUCCCGGUAGGCUGUAAGAGCACUGAGCAGAGCGAGUUGUUUCUUAGCUUCCCAAAGAGCUGGAAGCAAGAUGCUGUGGGGCCCAACACGCCCUUUGGAAAGAAGCCUGCACGGUGUUCCUUUCAGCUCUAGGGCAAUGUAGCACUCCCAGAGCAGAAGUCCUACUUCAGCCAGAUCAGGCCUGCAAAGAAACUGCGUUUCACAGGCCUUUGAUAGAGAUGUUCCCGGUAGGCUGUAAGAGCACUGUGCAGAGCGAGUUGUUUCUUAGCUUCCCAAAGAGCUGGAAGCAAGAUGCUGUGGGGCCCAACUCGCCCUUUGGAAAGAAGCCUGCACGGUGUGCCUUUCAGCUCUAGGGCAAAGUAGCACACCCAGAGCAGAAGUCCUACUUUAGCCAGAUGAGGCCUGCAAAGAGACUGCGUUUCACAGGCAUUUGGAAGUGAUGUUCCCGGUAGGCUGUAAGAGCACUGUGCAGAGCGAGUUGUUUCUUAGCUUCCCAAAGAGCUGGAAGCAAGAUGCUGUGGGGCCCAACUCGCCCUUUGGAAAGAAGCCUGCACGUUGUGCCUUUCAGCUCUAGGGCAAAGUAGCACACCCAGAGCAGAAGUCCUACUUCAGCCAGAUCAGGCCUGCAAAGAAACUGCGUUUCACAGGCCUUUGGAAGAGAUGUUCCCGGUAGGCUGUAAGAGCACUGUGCAGAGCGAGUUGUUUCUUAGCUUCCCAAAGAGCUGGAAGCAAGAUGCUGUGGGGCCCAACUCGCCCUUUGGAAAGAAGCCUGCACGUUGUGCCUUUCAGCUCUAGGGCAAUGUAGCACACCCAGAGCAGAAGUCCUACUUCAGCCAGAUCAGGCCUGCAAAGAAACUGCGUUUCACAGGCCUUUGGAAGAGAUGUUCCCGGUAGGCUGUAAGAGCACUGUGCAGAGCGAGUUGUUUCUUAGCUUCCCAAAGAGCUGGAAGCAAGAUGCUGUGGGGCCCAACUCGCCCUUUGGAAAGAAGCCUGCACGGUGUGCCUUUCAGCUCUAGGGCAAAGUAGCACACCCAGAGCAGAAGUCCUACUUCAGCCAGAUCAGGCCUGCAAAGAAACUGCGUUUCACAGGCCUUUGGAAGAGAUGUUCCCGGUAGGCUGUAAGAGCACUGUGCAGAGCGAGUUGUUUCUUAGCUUCCCAAAGAGCUGGAAGCAAGAUGCUGUGGGGCCCAACUCGCCCUUUGGAAAGAAGCCUGCACGGUGUUCCUUUCAGCUCUAGGGCAGUGUAGCACUCCCAGAGCAGAAGUCCUACUUCAGCCAGAUCAGGCCUGCAAAGAAACUGCGUUUCACAGGCCUUUGGGAGAGAUGUUCCCGGUAGGCUGUAAGAGCACUGUGCAGAGCGAGUUGUUUCUUAGCUUCCCAAAGAGCUGGAAGCAAGAUGCUGUGGGGCCCAACUCGCCCUUUUUAAAGAAGCCUGCACGGUGUUCCUUUCAGCUCUAGGGCCGUGUAGCACUCCCAGAGCAGAAGUCCUACUUCAGCCAGAUCAGGCCUGCAAAGAAACUGCGUUUCACAGGCCUUUGGAAGAGAUGUUCCCGGUAGGCUGUAAGAGCACUGUGCAGAGCGAGUUGUUUCUUAGCUUCCCAAAGAGCUGGAAGCAAGAUGCUGUGGGGCCCAACUCGCCCUUUGGAAAGAAGCCUGCACGUUGUGCCUUUCAGCUCUAGGGCAAAGUAGCACACCCAGAGCAGAAGUCCUACUUCAGCCAGAUCAGGCCUGCAAAGAAACUGCGUUUCACAGGCCUUUGGAAGAGAAGUUCCCGGUAGGCUGUAAGAGCACUGAGCAGAGCGAGUUGUUUCUUAGCUUCCCAAAGAGCUGGAAGCAAGAUGCUGUGGGGCCCAACUCGCCCUUUGGAAAGAAGCCUGCACGUUGUGCCUUUCAGCUCUAGGGCAAAGUAGCACACCCAGAGCAGAAGUCCUACUUCAGCCUGAUCAGGCCUGCAAAGAAACUGCGGAGACCCCCAAGGCCCAAGGCCCCCACCCCCACCACCACAGAUCACUGUGGAAGCCUUAACGACCCAAGGCUCCAGCUACAUACACACGCUCUUAGGAGGCAAGAUACACCAAGGGCUUAUGUGGGUUGCCACUUUUGGUGGUUGUUUCCGUGGCGUGUGAGUUUUGGAACCCGCCACGCCAUUUUUCACAGAGGCCAUACCGUUUCCCUUCACCACCAGUGAGGCGUGAGUGACUGACUUGGCUUCUCCGCGACCUCA